AGGACUGUUUCGGUUUUCACGGUUGUUCAUGUUAAGUGUCUCUUAUUAAAGAACCAUGAACUUCAACCACGCUGCGUUUUGGGCCGCCUCACCUUCCCAGGAAGAAAGCCGUGACAAUAUCCAUUGACAUCCACUGUAAAAAGUGGUACGGCACUGUUGUUCAUCUGAAGUGUUUUUUCUGAUUGGAAUGAUCCAAAAUUACACUUUGCUCAUGCACAUUUGCAUUGCAUAGCGGUGGGAGCAAUGUGGUCGCGGCAGCCAAUCAGAAGAGGUGGAGGUGCAUGUCAUUCCAGGUUAAAGUACAAAGGUUAAACCAUCUGAGAUGUAAGGUUGGUGUGUGCUGUUCCCAUGGCUCUGCAGGCUGUUGGGCAGCCAGUCGCAGAGGACCCACAGGUGGAUAGGGUAUCUUCAAAUACUGCUACACCCUCUGCUCUAUGCCUUUCACAAUCAUAUACUUGCCCUGAACUUUCCUAUUCUUCAGAGAGACCACUGGUCCAGUCGCUGCUGGAAGCACACUAACCACAAGGGGCCUUAAUCAUGUAACCUGAUUAAAGUCUGAGCACAUAAUGAUGUCGUUCUUCAUAGUUUCUCUAUUUAAAGGAGCCAACUAACUGUUGGAGUAAAACAUCGGUACAGGAUGUAUGCUGCAACGUAUGAUGUUCCUGUAGUACUUUCCCCAUUAUUAUUGUCUAGUUAAAUUAAAUAAAUAAUCUUGGUAGCUAAAGUAAUCAAAAUAUGCAUGUUAUGUAAUGUACCAGUUUUUUGUAUUUUUUUUCUUUAGUACAAAAUAAUGAAAUAAGGAUUUCUUACCCAUUGUGCCCAGCUAAGCACCUAAAAAUACUAUAGUAUGGUACACUCUAAGUGUUGUUUACAUGGCUGUGUCUUUGGCAAGACAGACAGACACUCAGUUUUCAUUCAAGCAAAUACCACUCCCUACACCAAGUACCUGCCCCUGAAUGGGUACACACACACAUUGAUUUAACUUCUGUUUCACCAGACCUCGCCCUAAAUGUCACGUCCUGAUCAUAGAGAGCCCUUAAUUUCUAUGUUAGAGUAGGUCAGGGUGUGACCUAUUAUUUUCUAUGUGGGGUUCUAGUUUAGUUUUCCUAUGUUGGUGUUUGGUAUGAUUCCCAAUUAGAGGCAGCUGGCUAUCGUUGUCUCUAAUUGGGGAUCAUAUUUAAGUAGCAUUUUUUUCAACCUGUGUUUUAUGGGAUGUUGUUUGAGUUAGUGUAUGUUACACGUCUUAGUUACGGUUUGUUGUUUGUUUCAUUCUUUCUUUGUUUUGUGAGUUUCUAAUAAAUAAUAUGUGGAAACCAUAUCGCGCUGCAGCUUGGUCCGAUAAUUAUUCCAACGAACGUGACAGAAUAUCCCAUCAAACCAGGACCAAGCAGCGUGCCCAAAGAGGGAAGGAUUUCUGGACAUGGGAAGAAGUGAUGGGUAGAUGCGAAACCCUUCCUUGGCAACAGACGGAAGGAGAUUGUGGAGGACAGCGACGACGACAGGGUUCGCGGCUACAGAAAGCCCAAGGACAACCCCAAGUUUUUUGGGGGGCACAUGGAGCUGGUGGCUGAGCAGAGGGAAGAGCCAGAGACUGUCAGGGAGGCAAUGGCAAAGUUGGGAGAGUGAGAGAUGAAAGAGAUGUUGUACAAGUGUGUUCUGUUCAACAUCCGACCAGAGGAUCCGGUUAGCAGUCUGGUGCAACCUGUGCCGGUUCCACGCUUCUGGCCUCAAGUGCACCUCUCCAGUCCGGUACGUCAUGUGUCUCCUCCUCGCACGGAGAGUGCGUGUCCCCAGUCCGGUACGUCCUAUGCCUGCUCCUCGCUCUUGCCAUGCGAAGUGUGUUAAAGUUCCGAUACAAUUGAUUCCGGCACAGCCCAGUACGUCCUGUGCCCACUCCUCGCACCCUCCCUCAAGUGUGCCU